rnacentral:misc_RNA from 1 species
AACUUUCUCUCUCGGAUCUCUUCUCGAAGCGAUCACCAAACGAGAGGACCUGAGAGUCUUGCUCUUUUGAAUUUUAUAUUCAAAAUCUAUGCUAGUCUCUUUAAAUGUAUGUCUGGCUAAGGUCUCUAGUCUCGGUUCAUGGCUUCGCUUCGGCGAGAUCUGAACGGUCUAAUGGGAUAACAUCCAAUCAUUAGUCUACUAGACCCCCUUACUAAUGCAGGCAAUUGAUCAUACCUGUACAUUUAUAGCAGUAAUAUGCUUAAAUGAACGGUAUAUUUCUUCAUUU